AGAGUUUGAUCAUGGCUCAGGAUGAACGCUGGCGGCGUGCUUAACACAUGCAAGUCGAACGGAGUUUUUAAACGGAAGUUUUCGGAUGGAAGUUUAAAAACUAGUGGCGGACGGGUGAGUAACGCGUGGGUAACCUGCCUCAUACAGGGGGAUAACAGUUAGAAAUGACUGCUAACACCGCAUAAUAUAGCGAAACCGCAUGAUUUUUGCUAUCAAAUAUUUAUAGGUAUGAGAUGGGCCCGCGUCUGAUUAGCUAGUUGGUGGGGUAAAAGCCUACCAAGGCGACGAUCAGUAGCCGGCUUGAGAGAGUGACCGGCCACAUUGGGACUGAGACACGGCCCAAACUCCUACGGGAGGCAGCAGUGGGGAAUAUUGGACAACGGGGGAAACCCUGAUCCAGCGAACCGCCGCGUGAGUGAAGAAGUAUUUCGGUAUGUAAAGCUCUAUCAGCAGGGAAGAUAAUGACAGUACCUGACUAAGAAGCCCCGGCUAACUACGUGCCAGCAGCCGC
rnacentral:rRNA from 1 species